rnacentral:rRNA from 1 species
CCUACGGGGGGCAGCAGUCGGGAAUAUUGCGCAAUGGAGGAAACUCUGACGCAGUGACGCCGCGUAUAGGAAGAAGGUUUUCGGAUUGUAAACUAUUGUCGUUAGGGAAGAUAAAAGACUGUACCUAAGGAGGAAGCCCCGGCUAACUAUGUGCCAGCAGCCGCGGUAAUACAUAGGGGGCAAGCGUUAUCCGGAAUUAUUGGGUGUAAAGGGUGCGUAGACGGAAGAACAAGUUGGUUGUGAAAUCCCUCGGCUCAACUGAGGAACUGCAACCAAAACUAUUCUCCUUGAGUGUCGGAGAGGAAAGUGGAAUUCCUAGUGUAGCGGUGAAAUGCGUAGAUAUCAGGAGGAACAUCGGUGGCGUAAGCGCUUUACUGGGCCGUAAUUGACGCUGAGGAACGAAAGCCAGGGUAGCAAAUGGGAUUAGAUACCCCAGUAGUC